GCGAUUGCCCGUUCCUAGUCCAUCUAAUCAAAUCGUCCGACUUCAGGUUGCUACAUUUGAUUGACCAAGGUUGAUUCUCGUGCACGACCGACGCUCCCGUGUAGGUUACUUAAUUGGGAAGAACAUUACACAUCAAGAGAAUUAUUCUUAUUUCUGAAAGAGUACAAUGAAUAUAAAAUAAUGAGCUGCAUAACGAAGAAAAAAAGAGAAAAAAUUCUUCAAUGAGAGUAUAAUUUUUUCACUCCCAGUAGAAAAUAGAAUUCUGGUCAAUUGGACUCGCAGAAAAGGAAUCGAAACCGGCCGGCGCCAAAAAGUCUAUCACAAUAAGGCGCGCAGCAAGAGUGAAGGAACAUCGGUAACGAACACGUUGAUCCGGUUCCGCGAGGUAGAGGACAGACACGCUCAACGAUUCCUGUUUAUUUUUAGCGAUUUAUUCUUUUAUAACGCCCCGUCGUCCUCGUAGACACCAACUCGACCAGAUGAAAUUAUAAUACAUGCAAGCUCGAGGAAAAAAGUGAUAACCAUCGUAUUGAAGUGACCUAUAAAAUAGUUAUUAUCUUCUACUUUCUCUAUUAAGCUAUUAUAAAAUACAUCGGUGAAAAGAUAUAAGAAUCAAUGUUUACAGUUUAAUUAUUUACAAUUAAUAUGAUUUUUCUAAAAAUAAAUAACUAGUAAUUUUAA